rnacentral:rRNA from 1 species
AUUGAACGCUGGCGGCAGGCUUAACACAUGCAAGUCGAGCGAGCGGCGGACGGGUGAGUAAUGUCUGGGAACCUGCCUGAUGGUGGGGGAUAACUACUGGAAACGGUAGCUAAUACCGCAUACCAUCAGAUGUGCCCAGAUGGGAUUAGCUAGUAGGUGGGGUAAUGGCGCACCUAGGCGACGAUCCCUAGCUGGUCUGAGAGGAUGACCAGCCACACUGGAACUGAGAGACGGUCCAUACUCCUACGGGUGGCAGCAGUGGGGAAUGUUGCGCAAUGGGCGCAAGCCGGAUGAAGCCAUUCCGCGGGUGCGGAGAAGGCCUUCGGGUUGUAAAGCAUUUUCAGCGAGGAGGCGUUACUCGCAGAAGAAGCACCGGCUAACUCCGUGCCAGCAGCCGCGGUAAUAC